UGUGUGGGGUAUGGCCACNNGCUUUGACGGGUAGCUCNGCUCUGAUAGGGUGACCGGCCACACUGGGACUGAGUACACGGCCCAGACUCCUACGGGAGGCAGCAGUGGGGAAUAUUGGACAAUGGGCGGAAGCCUGAUCCAGCAACGCCGCGUGAGGGAUGACGGCCUUCGGGUUGUAAACCUCUUUCAGCACAGACGAAGUUGGUGGUGACGGUAUGUGCAGAAGAAGCACCGGCCAACUACGUGCCAGCAGCCGCGGUAAUACGUAGGGUGCGAGCGUUGUCCGGAAUUAUUGGGCGUAAAGGGCUCGUAGGCGGUUUGUCGCGUCGGGAGUGAAAUCCACUGGCUUAACUGGUGGCUUGCUUUCGAUACGGGCAGACUGGAGGUAUGCAGGGGAGAACGGAAUUCCUGGUGUAGCGGUGAAAUGCGCAGAUAUCAGGAGGAACACCGGUGGCGAAGGCGGUUCUCUGGGCAUGUCCUGACGCUGAGGAGCGAAAGUGUGGGGAGCGAACAGGAUUAUAUACCCUGGUAGUCCACACCGUAAACGUUGNGCGCUAGGUGUGGNAUCCAUUCCACGGGUUCCGUGCUUCAGCUAACGCAUUA
rnacentral:rRNA from 1 species